UACACAUGCAAGUCGAACGGUAACAGGAAGCAGCUUGCUGCUUCGCUGACGAGUGGCGGACGGGUGAGUAAUGUCUGGGAAACUGCCUGAUGGAGGGGGAUAACUACUGGAAACGGUAGCUAAUACCGCAUAACGUCGCAAGACCAAAGAGGGGGACCUUCGGGCCUCUUGCCAUCGGAUGUGCCCAGAUGGGAUUAGCUAGUAGGUGGGGUAACGGCUCACCUAGGCGACGAUCCCUAGCUGGUCUGAGAGGAUGACCAGCCACACUGGAACUGAGACACGGUCCAGACUCCUACGGGAGGCAGCAGUGGGGAAUAUUGCACAAUGGGCGCAAGCCUGAUGCAGCCAUGCCGCGUGUAUGAAGAAGGCCUUCGGGUUGUAAAGUACUUUCAGCGGGGAGGAAGGCGACA
rnacentral:rRNA from 1 species